rnacentral:rRNA from 1 species
CCUACGGGCGGCAGCAGUGAGGAAUAUUGGUCAAUGGCCGCAAGCCUGAACCAGCCAAGCAGCGUGAAGGAUGAAUGCCCUACGGGUUGUAAACUUCUUUUAUCAAGGGAUAAAGUGAGGCACGAGUGCCUUUUUGUGUGUACUUUAUGAAUAAGCAUCGGCUAACUCCGUGCCAGCAGCCGCGGUAAUACGGAGGAUUCGAGCGUUAUCCGGAUUUAUUGGGUUUAAAGGGAGCGUAGAGGGGUUGUUAAGUCAGUUGUGAAAGUUUGCGGCUCAACCGUAAAAGAGCAAUUGAUACUGGCAGUCUUGAGUACAGUUGAGGUAGGCGGAAUGCGUGGUGUAGCGGUGAAAUGCUUAGAUAUCGCGAAGAACUCCGAUUGCGAAGGCAGCUUACUAAACGGGCUCUGACAUUGAGGCACGAAAGUGUGGGUAUCAAACAGGAUUAGAUACCCGGGUAGUC